AACAAACCUAUGAAGGAGAAUAGUAGGUAGGGUUUGAACUUAAGAGAGCCGGUGGAUGGUGCGAACCGGUGUUUGACCUUAUUGAAUCCACUCUUGAGGGUUUGCGAUGAGCAAAACGGUGUGGCCGUUAUACCACGUUGAGAGGACUGCUAAAAUUUUGUAUUUAGUGGUCAAAUAGGGUGGCACCGCGAAAGAUAGGCCUUUCGUCCCUUUG
rnacentral:ncRNA from 1 species